rnacentral:rRNA from 1 species
GGUAUUGAUUGGUGCUUGCAUCAUGAUUUACAUUUGAGUGAGUGGCGAACUGGUGAGUAACACGUGGGAAACCUGCCCAGAAGCGGGGGAUAACACCUGGAAACAGAUGCUAAUACCGCAUAACAACUUGGACCGCAUGGUCCGAGUUUGAAAGAUGGCUUCGGCUAUCACUUUUGGAUGGUCCCGCGGCGUAUUAGCUAGAUGGUGGGGUAACGGCUCACCAUGGCAAUGAUACGUAGCCGACCUGAGAGGGUAAUCGGCCACAUUGGGACUGAGACACGGCCCAAACUCCUACGGGAGGCAGCAGUAGGGAAUCUUCCACAAUGGACGAAAGUCUGAUGGAGCAACGCCGCGUGAGUGAAGAAGGGUUUCGGCUCGUAAAACUCUGUUGUUAAAGAAGAACAUAUCUGAGAGUAACUGUUCAGGUAUUGACGGUAUUUAACCAGAAAGCCACGGCUAACUACGUGCCAGCAGCCGCGGUAAUACGUAGGUGGCAAGCGUUGUCCGGAUUUAUUGGGCGUAAAGCGAGCGCAGGCGGUUUUUUAAGUCUGAUGUGAAAGCCUUCGGCUCAACCGAAGAAGUGCAUCGGAAACUGGGAAACUUGAGUGCAGAAGAGGACAGUGGAACUCCAUGUGUAGCGGUGAAAUGCGUAGAUAUAUGGAAGAACACCAGUGGCGAAAGCGGCUGUCUGGUCUGUAACUGACGCU